UAAGUAGGACCCGAGCGUUAUCCGGAUUCACUGGGUGUAAAGGGCGUGUAGGCGGGCGUGCGCGUCCGGGGUGAAAGGUUCCGGCUCAACCGCGAAAGUGCCUUGGAUACGGUACGGCUUGGGGGUGGGAGAGGACGGUGGAAUUCCUGGUGUAGCGGUGAAAUGCGUAGAUAUCAGGAGGAACACCAGUGGCGAAGGCGGCCGUCUGGCCCACAACCGACGCUGAAGCACGAAAGCGUGGGGAUCAAACAGG
rnacentral:rRNA from 1 species